AGUGAACGCUGGCGGUAGGCCUAACACAUGCAAGUCGAACGGCAGCACAGUAAGAGCUUGCUCUUACGGGUGGCGAGUGGCGGACGGGUGAGGAAUACAUCGGAAUCUACUUUUUCGUGGGGGAUAACGUAGGGAAACUUACGCUAAUACCGCAUACGACCUACGGGUGAAAGCAGGGGAUCUUCGGACCUUGCGCGAUUGAAUGAGCCGAUGUCGGAUUAGCUAGUUGGCGGGGUAAAGGCCCACCAAGGCGACGAUCCGUAGCUGGUCUGAGAGGAUGAUCAGCCACACUGGAACUGAGACACGGUCCAGACUCCUAAGGGAGGCAGCAGUGGGGAAUAUUGGACAAGGGGGGCAGGCCUGAUCCAGCCAUACCGCGUGGGUGAAGAAGGCGUUCGGGUUGUAAAGCCCUUUUGUUGGGAAAGAAAAGCAGCAGGUUAAUACCCCGCUGUUCUGACGGUACCCAAAGAAUAAGCACCGGCUAACUUCGUG
rnacentral:rRNA from 1 species